rfam:Oryza sativa Japonica Group DNA, chromosome 6, cultivar: Nipponbare, complete sequence.
UUGAAGAAAAAUUUGGGAUCUAAACACGGUGUUAUUUAAAUUUUUUUAUAAUUAGUAUUUUUGUUGUUAUGCAAUGAUAAAACAUGAAUAUUACUUUACUGGUGACUUAUAUUUUUAAAUUUUUUCAAAAAAAAUUUAAAUAAGACGGAUGGUUAAAGUUGGACGCGGAAAACUAGGACUGCACUUAAA